UCCAACUUCUCUAGAGACCUUUUCCCCUUCUUGCUGCUGGACUGGACUUGUCCAAGCCAGUCCCUUUAUUCAGAGGAUUGGCAAUUGGUUUAUAGUAUGAGAACUGAAUAUUUCCUUUUAUCUUUGUUAGUCACUUAUCUACCAAAAGCUCUCAACGCGUCUUAUGAUCAAGGUUUACAAACACAAAGCUAUGCAAUCCAAUUAAAAAUAAGUGCAUGCUAUAAAAGCAGAAAGCCGAUACAAGGUGAACUAGGAAAUAACAAAGCAAUAGGCAUUGACCUGCUCUUGAAAAGAGGAACAUAUUUCAGUUGUCAGACUAAGUUCUAGAACAGCCAUCCCCAACCUGGUGCCCUCAAGAUAUUUUGGAUUACAAUUCCCAUCAGCUCCAGAUGGUGCAGGCAUGCUGCUAAUGUUCCCAUUUUAUGGCUGCAGAACUGAACUGUGUCCAAGGUCACUCAUUGAAUUGGUGACUAAGCACAGAAUUGAAUCUGGGGCUCCAGGUUCAUGUCUGAUAUUCUAAGCACAUGGGUUGAUUCAGACAGAAUGCCAAACUAAUUUGCACUCCCCCCUUCUUUGAGUAGACUGUGAGUAGAAAUACAGAACCUUCUGCUUUUGAUUAACCACAGCUUGCCAUGUUGUCUAAAUCUGGACAAACUGGUUCAUCUAAACUGUGGAUAAUGGAAACAAGGAAACUUCCAGGCAUAGCAGUGCUAACUGUUGUCACUAACAGUGGUUAAGAUGAACCAUGGUUAGGGUUUGGACAAUAUAAUGUGGUUGAUCUAAAACAGAAGUCUUCUUUCUGUCUUCUAGAGGAGGCUAGGAUAGGAAAGAAGCAUGUGACCCUGGGUUGGAGAAAUUAGGCUUAUUCUUGUAGUGCUAAACUAUGGUUUAGUAUUGCAUUCAGUAUGCAUUGUCGAGUUUUGAUAGCUCCAUUAAAAAUACAUUAUCUAGGUUCAGAUAUUUUUUUAAAAAAAAGCUAAAUGGUGAAGUAUUAUUAUUGUUAUUGAUAAUUCCUAUCACUAGUUGGGAUUAUUGCGAAUGCAUUAUCAUUGAGCAUUUUUCAAUAAUGAAGAAUACUGUAGUAUUAUGCACAGGACUAAAAAGCUUAUGAAUGCCUGGUUGAUAAUAAUGUUACAUUGGUGGUAAGAAUAUUUCAUUCCUGAGCAUGUCCUAUUACAUGUGUAUUUUUUCCUCUUUCAAUUUACACAUUCCUUGGAAUCUAAAAGCCUGAUCCCAAGAUUUCUUAUGGAUAGCACAUGGGUACAUUUGGAUGGUGCAUACCACAAGUGUUCUGUGGCAGAGCAUGAUGUUAGGAUUGUGUUGCACGUAUGCAUGCUGUGCAAGUGCGUUGUAUUGGAGUUUUAAAAUUUACAUAUGAUAUUUUUGACGAUACCUGUGCUGAUCUUCCAGAACUGAGAAAUAGUGUCAGAGUCAACUUAAUAGGUGUGCAAGCAGGAGUCAACACAGCAAGUCCCACUAGCACCAAGGGGCUUGCCUACCCCUGCACUCCCAUAGUCUCUGAGGGGUUGUUGGGAAAAUCCCCAUAAUAGCACAUGGAAGCAGCAGAGUAGAGAGAAGAGUGUUUCAUCCGGCAAAGAGAAAUGCUUGCACUGACAAAACUAUCCUAAUAGUGUGAUGUUUAAUUCCACCCAUGAAUUGGCAUACUCAACAGGAAUGUAAAGUUGUCCCAACUUUUUCUUUACUUUCCCUGAAGCCUUUGUUUUGAGAUAAGUGGAUGUUUAGAGAUAAGUGGAGCUUAAGAAAGUAAAUGAAUGCAUUUACACUUGUUGAGCUCAAAGGAAAAUAUGUGUAAAUACUUUUAUUAGGAACGCCAGGUGUAUGUACAGAUGUUAGGAGAAGGAGAAUGACCCUGUGGUCAUUUUUCUGUCCCCAAGUGCGUGGUUUGCCUUACCUACCAUAGAUUCAUAGAACUACAGAGUUGGAAGGGACCAUGAGGGUCAAGUCCAACCCCCCUGCAAUGCAGGAAUUUCAGCUAGAUCCUACAUAACAGAUAGCCAUCCAACCUCUGCUUAAGAACCACCAAGGAAGGAGAGUUAAUCACCACUCAAAAUUUGCCAGGUUUCAGAUGCACUUUGCACCUGGCUAUUGGCCACUUUCAACCAAGUGAAGGUGCCAGGGCACCAGGUUGGUGCCUGAGGUCUCCACCAUGCUUCUAGCAUCCUUGUAUCUCGACUGUUUUCACACACUAAUACCCUAUCCUGUGAAAUUCUAUCUGAUAUAUUUUAUCUGCGUUAUCAGAAUGAAUUUCAGGAACCAAAAAGUUAUAUUGGAAAAUAGGACGUUGAACCGCCUGGCCCCAAAAUGAUAACUAGGCAUUCCAUUUUGGUGACUGUAAGUCUGCUUUUAGGAGCUGUUUGGUGCCUAGCUUAUAUAUCUGAGUUUCCAACACGAGGAGUCUGUUCUACCGUUGAACAGCUCUUAUUAUCAGAAAGUUCUUCCUGAUGUUUAGCCAAAAUCUCCUUUUUGUAACUUAAAUCCAUUGGUUUGGCUUCUAGCAUCUGAAGCAGGAGAAAACAAGCUUGUGCCAUCCUCCAUGUGACAACCCUUUAUAUAUUUGAAGAUGGCUAUCAUAUCUCCUCUGUCUCCUCUUUGCCAUGACUUCACUUGAUCUAGACACUAGAUGCAACCUAGAAUAGCAUUAGCUUUUUUUGUUGCUGCAUCACACUGUUGACUCAUGUUCAGCUUGUGGUCUACUAAGACCCCCAGAGAGCAGUUUUGAUGGGCUCACACCAGAUGUGGAUUUUUAUAAUUAAUUUGUGGUAAGUUAGAUGUAACAGGGGAGGAAGUGUAUGUGACAGAACAGUUGUGGUCUCAUAAAUUAUAUUACUUUCAAUGAACCCCUUAACAUUUGGCCAGUAGGACAAGACUUGAAAUGAUAGUUUAUAGGCAAUUUCCAUAGUAAACGCAUUGCAUACUGGAGAAUGAAUACACAUUUGAUUGCUUUAUGCAUAAAGCCAAACUACAGCUGCAUCUUUAUUUUACAUUCUCACUGCUCCCUUCAUGUUCUCCUCAAUUACUUAUUUCCUCUUUCACACAAACCAGUAACAGUUGGAAUUAGGUUUGCAGCCUUGGUUUAGGGUGAAAAAACAAUCUAUAAUUUACUGAUUUAUGUAACUGUAACGGUAACUAGUUUUCAUCAGUACUGUACUUAAUAUAGUUAGAAAAACUUAUACAUAGCAUAAUCAGAACAGUGUACAUAAAAGCAAUACUUAACUAACUGCAGAAGUUAACUAGCUGAAGCAGAGAAGAUGAAAGGAAAGUGCAGAGGACAAGAGUCCUUCUCAUGGUGCCAAACCAUAGUUUGGUGUUACAACUGAAGCCAUGGUCAUGAUUUUACAUUAAUGUCAAAUGUUUGUCUGUUUGUUUUUUUAGUGGGGGGGGAGGCUGCAGACCAUAAUUGUAUCAUGUUGUAUUCUAUUAGGGUUGUCUGUAGACCAGAUACAGUACAGGCUUUUGGCUGAUUGAUAUCAAAUGCCCUUUUAAAAUGUGUUGGGGGGGUAUUAUUGGAUUGUUCUUGUUUUUAUUAUGUAUUUUGUGUUUUUAUAUUGUGAUUUUUUUCCCUUAUGAACUGGCCUGAGACCUGCGGGUAUAGGGCGGUAUACAAAUAUAAUUACAGUGGUACCUCAGUUUACAAACACAGUUGGUUCCAGAAGUCUGUACUUAACCUGAAGUGAACUUUCCCAUUGAAAGUAAUGGAAAGUGGAUUAAUCUGUUCCAGAUGGUCCGUGGAGUACUUAAACUGAAGCGUACUUAACCUGAAGCGAACUUUCCCAUUGAAAGUAAUGGAAAGUGGAUUAAUCUGUUCCAGACGGGUCCACGGAGUACUGAACCUGAAGCAUACUUAACCCGAGGUAUGAGUGUAAUUGGUUCCGGAAGUCUGUGCUUAACCUGAAGCGUACUUAACCUGAAGCGAACUUUCCCAUUGAAAGUAAUGGAAAGUGGAUUAAUCCGUUCCAGACAGGUCCGCAGAGUACUUAAACUGAAAAUACUCAAACCAAGACGUACUUAAACCGAGGUAUGACUGUAAUGUAAUGAGAAUAAUAAAUGUUUCAGUUGUGCAUUGGGUUGAGGAUGAUGAGUUUGUGGAGUGUUAAAAGACAACAACCCACUUACAGUAUUUAGGCAGAAAACACAAUAGACAGAAAUGGCAAUAUCUGCUUGAUUCCCCCCCCCCCAAUCAUUUCUGACCCUUUAGAGUGGCCACCUAUUAGUUUUCGAACACAUCUUUACAAGCAUGUGGUUUAAAAACUAUAAUGAAGAGUGACACCUAUCCAUAAGGAAAUGCUGCUUGUUGGUGGUGGGACUUCAUUGAGGCAAUAGUUCCCUGUUCUGCUAGUAGACAUGCCUGGUGGCUACAGAUACAGUCACAACACAAUUACAUCCUGUAUCACUCAGUGGAGCCAACCAGUGUCUGUGCCUACAUGUAAGGAACCCUGGGCUAGGCAAUUUUCUGGUUUCAUUGAAGUCAGUAGAUCAAGUUUCCCUUGCAGCUCUUUUUGCUUUAUUGCUUGUUUAUUGGAUUUCUUGCCCGCCCUUCACCAUAAAGUCUCAUGAGGUAUGCAGGAGUUGUAAUGUAUACACAGAGAUCCUGUAGUAGCCAUGGCCUUCCCAGUUGGUACAGCAGUUAGCUACACUUAUUCCUCUGCAUGAUCUAAGCCACCUCCACUAGAAGUGGAGCAGGAGAAUACUCUGAAAAUACUGUGUGUGUAUCAAGAAACCCCCAGAGCUCUUAGUAAUUAUGAGAGAGAUUGUAUGUUUGUUGCACAGUGCCCGUAUGUUGUGGGUCAUGGUGCUUUGUUGCAGAUGGCUGUGUGGCUUAAUUGAAGUGGUUGUCAUAUAAAAGCUGUGAUUGAUUCAAACAGGGACAGUUGGAGCUGUUAAUUUCGCUUUCAAUAUCAAAUGCCCCUUUAAUUCGGAUUAUAGCAGCAAUGCAUGCACAUAACACUUGUACUCGGCCUUUGCUCAGGUUAAUGGCAUUUCAGAGCCCCUUGCUAUAAAUUCCUGUUCAGUUCAGGAAUCUGGGGCUUGCUCUCUGACGGAUUCUGCACUGCCUUCUUGAAAACAAAUGUAUUUUAUUUGCAUGUGCCAACAGUUCUGUUGGUAGUCGAACAUUGUUUUUGUGGGAAACUUUUUCCCUAUCUUAUUUGUAUACCUGCUCCAGUUUCAGUCUGUUUUCACUGAUGCUAGUUUUAACUACUUAUAUGGUUUUGCAGUGUUUAUAUUUAGGCUGAAAGUAAAAAAUGCAGGACUGAAAGGGGGAAAAGGAACCUCAAACGUGCACAUAAGAUAAAAUUGCCAAUACAUUUGGUGUAAAAAUUCUUCAGGGGCAACUAUAAAAACUAGAAACAUGGAAUCAUAGAAUUAUAGAGUUGGAAGGGACACCAAGGGUCAUCUAGUCCAACCUGCUGCAAUGAUUUGAAGUCCUCAAUUCAAAUUUUGCCUCUGUCUCAAAUUCACUGCAUUUUCUUGGUGAAGUGUCCCUCAACAUCAGCACCUCUCAACUACAGCACCCCUCAACUACCAUAUGAAGAUACUAUACAGUACUGUCUUGCCUUACAGGAUUGCUGUAAGUAUAUCUUGGGUAUUGUUCUGAAGUGCUUUGAACCCUGUGAUGUACAAUAUGCAUACAUUUGUAUUUUAUGACUUGGAGAAACAUAGCAGGAUCUAAGGCUUUGCUGCUGCUUCCUCUGACACACAGCAGUGGAAGAAGGGAGUAAAAGAAGUGGGUGGUAGUUCUAGGCCAGGGGUCAACAACCUUUUUCAGCCAUGGGAUGGUCCUCCGUCCCUCAGACCAUGUGGUAGGCUGGACUAUAUUUUGG